rnacentral:tRNA from 2 species
GGAAGGUCAUCGCUCCCGGUGGGGCGGCUGGACUUCAAAUCCAGAUGGGGCCGCCAGCGGUCCCUGGCAGGUUCGACUCCUGUGACUUUCCGCCA